rnacentral:rRNA from 1 species
GGAAUAUUGCAGAAUGGGCGAAAGCCUGAUGCAGCGACGCCGCGUGAGUGAAGAAGGAUUUCGGUAUGUAAAGCCCUAUCAGCAGGGUAGAAAAUGACGGUACCUUACUAAGAAGCCCCGGGUAACUACGUGCUAGCAGCCGCGGUAAUACGUAGGGGGCAAGCGUUAUCCGGAUUUACUGGGUGUAAAGGGAGCGUAGACGGCGAAGCAAGUCUGAAGUGAAAACCCAGGGCUCAACCCUGGGACUGCUUUGGAAACUGUUUUGCUAGAGUGUCGGAGAGGUAAGUGGAAUUCCUAGUGUAGCGGUGAAAUGCGUAGAUAUUAGGAGGAACACCAGUGGCGAAGGCGGCUUACUGGACGAUAACUGACGUUGAGGCUCGAAAGCGUGGGGAGCAAACA